GAGGAAUUUUGGGCAAUGGGGGCAACCCUGACCCAGCGACGCCGCGUGCAGGAUGAAGGCCCUUCGGGUUGUAAACUGCUUUCGGGUGAGAAGAAAAGCCGACUCGGUCGGCUGGGACUGUACCACCAGAAGAAGCACCGGCUAACUACGUGCCAGCAGCCGCGGUAAUACGUAGGGUGCAAGCGUUAUCCGGAAUCACUGGGUGUAAAGGGUGUGUAGGCGGAUUUGUGCGUCAGAGGUUAAAUAUCCAGGCUUAACUUGGAAAAUGCCUUUGAUACGGCAAGUCUUGAGUAUAAGAGAGGAAGGUGGAAUUCCUGGUGUAGAAGUGAAAUUCGUAGAUAUCAGGAGGAACACCGGUGGCGAAGGCGGUCUUCUGGCUUAUUACUGACGCUGAGGCACGAAAGCGUGGGGAUCAAAC
rnacentral:rRNA from 1 species